rnacentral:rRNA from 1 species
AAGAAAGUAAAUAAGGGCGCAUGGCGGAUGCCUUGGCUCUCGGAGGCGAUGAAGGACGUGAUAAGCUGCGAUAAGCUUCGGGUAGGUGCAAAUAACCUUUGAUCCGAAGAUUUCCGAAUGGGACAACCCGGCAUUCUGAAGGAAUGUCAUCCAACCAAGUUGGAGGCUAACGCAGGGAACUGAAACAUCUUAGUACCUGCAGGAAAAGAAAAUAAAUAAUGAUUCCCCUAGUAGUGGCGAGCGAACGGGGAAUAGCCCAAACCACCCGUGUUACGGCAUGUGUGGGGUUGUAGGACCACGCUCUCGCAAGAAAGUUAUUGAGAAGAAGCGGCUGGAAAGCCGCGCCAUAGACGGUGAUAGCCCGGUAUUCCAAGGUAACUGAAGCGUAGUGGUAUCCUGAGUAGCGCGGAGCACGAGGAAUUCUGCGUGAACCAGCCGGGACCAUCCGGUAAGGCUAAAUACUCCCGAGAGACCGAUAGCGAACCAGUACUGUGAAGGAAAGGUGAAAAGCACUUCGAAUAGAAGAGUGAAAUAGUCCCUGAAACCAUGCGCCUACAAGCGGUCGGAGCAGCGUAAGUUGUGACGGCGUGCCUUUUGCAUAAUGAACCUACGAGUUACUUUUUCCGGCAAGGUUAAGCAUCUUGAGAUGUGGAUCCGAAGCGAAAGCGAGUCUGAACAGGGCGGAUAGUCGGAAGGAGUAGACGCGAAACCAAGUGAUCUACCCUUGGGCAGGUUGAAGGUUAGGUAACACUAACUGGAGGACCGAACCGAUAAGCGUUGAAAAGCUUCCGGAUGACCUGAGGGUGGGGGUGAAAGGCUAAUCAAACUUGGAGAUAGCUCGUACUCCCCGAAAUGCAUUUAGGUGCAGCCUUGAGAAUUACUAAUGUGAGGUAGAGCGACUGAUAAGAUGCGAGGGCUUCACCGCCUAUCAAGUCUUGAUAAACUCCGAAUGCGCAUUAGUUCGAUCUCAGGAGUGAGGGCAUGGGUGCUAAGGUCCAUGUCCUAAAGGAGAAGAAUCCAGACCAUCAGCUAAGGUCCCCAAAUAAACACUAAGUUGAACUAACGAAGUCAGAUUGCUAAGACAGCUAGGAUGUUGGCUUGGAAGCAGCCAUUCAUUUAAAGAGUGCGUAACAGCUCACUAGUCGAGGAGUUUGGCGUGGAUAAUAAUCGGGCAUCAAGUGUUUUACCGAAGCUAUGGGAUACGUAAGUAUCGGUAGGGGAGCAUUCCACUCUGCGUUGAAGGCGAAGCGUGAGCUUUACUGGAGCGUGUGGAAAAGCAAAUGUAGGUAUAAGUAACGAUAAAGGGGGUGAGAAACCCCCUCGCCGCAAGACUAAGGUUUCCUGAUCAACGCUAAUCGGAUCAGGGUUAGUCGGGUCCUAAGGCUCAGCCGAACGGUGAUGCCGAUGGCAGAACAGGUUAAUAUUCCUGUACUAGCAUUAAGAGUGACGUGGAGACGGAGGAGUGACAACGCCGCGGACUGACGGAAUAGUCCGUUAAAGGGUGUAGAUGUUGAUUGUCCCAGGCAAAUCCGGGAUAAGAGUCGAACCUGACAGUAUACCAAUUUCCUCGGAAAACGGUAAUAGUGCGUGUAAACAUACUCCCAAGAAAAUCCGCUAAACUUAAUCUUAAUGGUACCCGUACCGCAAACGGACACACGUAGUCGGGUUGAAUAUACUCAGGCGCUUGAGUGAAUCACGGUUAAGGAACUAGGCAAAUUGACCCUGUAACUUCGGGAUAAAGGGUCCCUACCCGGUGACGGGAGGGCGCAGAGAAUAGGUCCAGGCAACUGUUUAACAAAAACACAGGGCUGUGCAAAAUUGAAAGAUCACGUAUACAGCCUGACACCUGCCCGGUGCUGGAAGGUUAAGAGGAGAUGUCAUCGCAAGAGAAGCAUUGAAUUGAAGCCCCAGUAAACGGCGGCCGUAACUAUAACGGUCCUAAGGUAGCGAAAUUCCUUGUCGGGUAAGUUCCGACCUGCACGAAUGGUGUAAUGAUCUGGACACUGUCUCAACCGUGAGCUCAGUGAAAUUGUAGUAUCGGUGAAGAUGCCGAUUACCCGCGAUGGGACGAAAAGACCCCGUGAACCUUUACUAUAGCUUAACAUUGAAUUUGGGUAAUUGAUGUGUAGGAUAGGCCGGAGACUU